UCGGGAAUUUUGGGCAAUGGGCGAAAGCCUGACCCAGCAACGCCGCGUGAGGGAUGCAGUAUUUCGGUAUGUAAACCUCGAAAGAAUGGGAAGAAUAAAUGACGGUACCAUUUAUAAGCUCCGGCUAACUACGUGCCAGCAGCCGCGGUAAUACGUAGGGAGCAAGCGUUGUUCGGAUUUACUGGGCGUAAAGGGCGCGUAGGCGGCGCGGUAAGUCACUUGUGAAAUCUCUGAGCUUAACUCAGAACGGCCAAGUGAUACUGCUGUGCUAGAGUGCGGAAGAGGCAACCGGAAUUCUUGGUGUAGCGGUGAAAUGCGUAGAUAUCAAGAGGAACACCUGAGGCGAAGGCGGGUUGCUGGGCCGACACUGACGCUGAUGCGCGAAAGCCAGGGGAGCAAAC
rnacentral:rRNA from 1 species